rnacentral:rRNA from 1 species
CCUACGGGAGGCAGCAGUGAGGAAUUUUCCGCAAUGGGCGAAAGCCUGACGGAGCAAUACCGCGUGAGGGAUGAAGGAUUUUGGUCUGUAAACCUCUUUUCUCAAGAAAGAAGUUCUGACGGUACUUGAGGAAUAAGCAUCGGCUAACUCCGUGCCAGCAGCCGCGGUAAUACGGGGGAUGCAAGCGUUAUCCGGAAUGAUUGGGCGUAAAGCGCCUGUAGGUUGUUUAUUAAGUCCGUUGUUAAAGCCUAGGGCUCAACCCUAGAAAAGCAAUGGAAACUAGUAGACUAGAGUAUGGCAGGGGUAGAGGGAAUUUCUAGUGUAGCGGCGAAAUGCGUAGAUAUUAGAAAGAACACCGGUGGCGAAAGCGCUCUACUGGACCAUUACUGACACUCAGAGGCGAAAGCUAGGGUAGCAAAAGGGAUUAGAUACCCCUGUAGUCCUAGCCGUAAACGAUGGAUACUAGAUGUUGUGCAUUAUGUACAGUAUCGUAGCUAACGCGUUAAGUAUCCCGCCUGGGGAGUACGCUCGCAAGGGUGAAACUUAAAGGAAUUGACGG